rnacentral:rRNA from 1 species
GACGAACGCCGGCGGCGUGCCUAAUACAUGCAAGUUGAGCGCUGAAGGUUGGUACUUGUACCCACUGGAUGAGCAGCGAACGGGUGAGUAACGCGUGGGGAAUCUGCCUUUGAGCGGGGGACAACAUUUGGAAACGAAUGCUAAUACCGCAUAAAAACUUUAAACACAAGUUUUAAGUUUGAAAGAUGCAAUUGCAUCACUCAAAGAUGAUCCCGCGUUGUAUUAGCUAGUUGGUGAGGUAAAGGCUCACCAAGGCGAUGAUACAUAGCCGACCUGAGAGGGUGAUCGGCCACAUUGGGACUGAGACACGGCCCAAACUCCUACGGGAGGCAGCAGUAGGGAAUCUUCGGCAAUGGACGAAAGUCUGACCGAGCAACGCCGCGUGAGUGAAGAAGGUUUUCGGAUCGUAAAACUCUGUUGGUAGAGAAGAACGUUGGUGAGAGUGGAAAGCUCAUCAAGUGACGGUAACUACCCAGAAAGGGACGGCUAACUACGUG